UACGUAGGGCGCAAGCGUUGUCCGGAAUUAUUGGGCGUAAAGAGCUCGUAGGCGGCCUGUUGCGUCCGCUGUGAAAUCCCGGGGCUUAACCCCGGGCCUGCAGUGGAUACGGGCAGGCUGGAGGCAGGCAGGGGAGAACGGAAUUCCCGGUGUAGCGGUGAAAUGCGCAGAUAUCAGGAGGAACACCGAUGGCGAAGGCAGGUCUCUGGGCCACUACUGACGCUGAGAAGCGAAAGCAUGGGGAGCGAACAGG
rnacentral:rRNA from 1 species